rnacentral:tRNA from 1 species
GGAUUCUAGCUUAGUGGUAAAACACUUACCUGGCAUGAGUGAGAUCCUGGGUUCAAUCCUCAGGACCA